rnacentral:rRNA from 1 species
UACGUAGGUGGCAAGCGUUGUCCGGAUUUACUGGGCGUAAAGAGCGCGCAGGCGGUCGUUCAAGUCGCGUGUGAAAGCCCCCGGCUCAACUGGGGAGGGUCACGCGAUACUGAUCGACUGGAAGGCAGGAGAGGGUAGUGGAAUUCCCGGUGUAGUGGUGAAAUGCGUAGAGAUCGGGAGGAACACCAGUGGCGAAGGCGGCUACCUGGACCAGCACUGACACUGAGGCGCGAAAGCGUGGGGAGCGAACAGG